AGUGAACGCUGGCGGUAGGCCUAACACAUGCAAGUCGAACGGCAGCACAGAGGAGCUUGCUCCUUGGGUGGCGAGUGGCGGACGGGUGAGGAAUACAUCGGAAUCUACUCUGUCGUGAGGGAUAACGUAGGGAAACUUACGCUAAUACCGCAUACGACCUACGGGUGAAAGCAGGGGACCUUCGGGCCUUGCGCGAUUGAAUGAGCCGAUGUCGGAUUAGCUAGUUGGCGGGGUAAAGGCCCACCAAGGCAACGAUCCGUAGCUGGUCUGAGAGGGUGAUCAGCCACACUGGAACUGAGACACGGUCCAGACUCCUACGGGAGGCAGCAGUGGGGAAUAUUGGACAAUGGGCGCAAGCCUGAUCCAGCCAUACCGCGUGGGUGAAGAAGGCCUUCGGGUUGUAAAGCCCUUUUGUUGGGAAAGAAAUCCAGCUGGCUAAUACCCGGUUGGGAUGACGGUACCCAAAGAAUAAGCACCGGCUAACUUCGUGCCAGCAGCCGCGGUAA
rnacentral:rRNA from 1 species